GGUUAAAAUGGCACAUGGCGUCGAGUUCUCAGCUUUGGUUUUAUAACCGUUUUUUUGCAAGCGUUCGUGAAUUUCUUCGAGUCUCAUACAGGCAACAACUUACUAAUUUGUCAUGUCUUCCUACACCAACACAGUGACAGAGCUCAGUAUGAAGAGAACAGUCCUGUGUCUGGAGGGGAGUGAAGAUGUGGAGUCUGCUGACCAAAUGGAAGGUGAAGAGGCCAUCCAAAGGCAGCUGACAAUGGCAUCACCAGCCUUGAGCAAGAGCGCAGCUUCCUCCAGGCAGAGGGGGCGUGCUGUGUGAUGGAGCUACAGCUGCAGCAUCCAGACUCUUCUCUACACCUGAUAAACUGGACUGUGAAGCAGCUGGACCUGUUGUGCAGUGGUUGUGGCUAGGCCAGGGCUCAGACGCCGGGUCAGGCAGCGCAGUGCAACAACACCCCACUGCUUCUGAAUCUCAGCAACAACCACGUAGGCCACACGGCGCUGCUCUGCCGGGGCCCGGCCGCCAACAACACCCUCAGGGUCCUCAGGGUGAGCAGAUGGAUCGGUGAACACUGAAGCCUUGGACAUGACACCUGCCUGUGGGCACAGUAGUAGCCUAUUAAUGCAAUAAUGGGUCUUUUGAAUAUGCAGGGAUGGUGUGAUCCUUUGUAGUGCAGACUGGUGCUGCUGGGUGAACAAGGCAGUUAUGGCGCCAGUAUAAAGGCAUACGGUCACAUAUUCACUUCCUAUUCCCAUCUUUUUCACCACUGGUUUGGCUACCAUACUUUCCUGAGGUGUUUGCAUGUAAAAGCUUUCAGUUUUACAAGGUAAUGGUCUUGAGCUUGAGUUCAGCACUGGAAGAGAUCAAUGUUUCUGUAAGUGCAACAAAACGACUUGAAGCUCAGCAUAGCAACUACAGGGUACAGUAUCUGCUUUCACUGCAUGAAGAAUGACCAUGAGCAGAUCGUCCAGGUCAGGGGUCAGGACAAAAGGGACAUGUCUUGUCAUAACAAUAAGAAUAGAUUGAGAUGUUUAACAAAAACUGCAGGAUAAACUAUAGGUAAAUCCAGAACUGGAUUAAAUGGAUAUAUUACACUAGGCUGCCACAUGAUUAUUAUGCUCAUUAAUUUAGCUGAACAUUUUUUAGCUUAUCUAUUUAUGUUUUGAUAUUCAUAACCACAGCAACUGGCAACACCAUAGGAACCACCUAGAGCACCAUAACAAUAUAUGCAAUUUGUUAGUCAUUUAUUUCUAGUGGAAAGUGUAGCUCUAUAUUAUACAUCUGAUUUAAAUAUAUUGUACAUUUAAUUGAAAGUGUCUUUACUCAUUCAGAUUUGGAUAUUUAAAUGGAAAACUUACAUUUUCAGAUGCUUUCUCCUGACUUUUGAUGAGGUCCUUGCUGAUGUCAUCAAAAUCCCAGGAGCUGGUCAGUCCAUUCUCAGCUGCCGACAGGGCGGGCCUUGCAGGUGGUAACUGAGGCUGGCUUGUGGGCUUUGAAACUGCUGGGCCUGAGACAAGCUUGUGUAAAGCCCUUUUGUCCUGCAGCUGACACUGUGAUUAGAUUUUACAUUUUUAAAACAUUUUAAAAUAUACGUCAAAAAAUAUUUAUUACAUUGUGAAAUCAUAUUUAAUCAUCAAUAUUUAAUGAAGGAAGUUGAUGUUCAUUACACCUCUAUUUGGCCUGCCUAGUGGCAAUGAGGCCCUAGGCAUGCAUCUAGAAAGCCUAUGGUUAGAUGUGGCCUGGGCAGGUCUCUGAGCAGGUGUGUAAUGAUAAAGACCUUGCUGUCAUGUCAUCAUUUGACCAUGCAAAAAUCAGAAUGACUCUGCUUAAAACGGCCUUUUGUAAGAGAAAGCCUAUGUACCAAACAAGCCUUGGGGCAGACCAAAGCCUUUAGUUUUCAAUUAUACACACACAUGCACUUGGUAACACAUUUGUUAACAUUUUAGAAUAAUGAAUAUUUGAUUUUGCCUCAAGUAAGCUAUAAACACAUUUAGAAAAUGAUGGGGAACAUCUUAGAUGAUCUUGCAGCACCUCUGGUUUAGGAAAUGUCUGGUAUAACCAGCCUGGCCACAAUAUUUUCAAGAAAUCUUGUAGUGGUCAUCCACCCCAAGAUAAAUACAUUACACAGCCAGAUGUGUUUUCCUCCAACUUAAAUGGAAGCCAGACGCUCAGUUUUAGCUGGAUGAAGACGUCUGCCGGAGGUUUAACAUCAGUGAACUCAGUUCUGCAGCUGUAUGCAUUGCUUAGACAGUAAUGUAGUUCAGUAAUGUUGUAAUGCUGUUGCCGGUUGCUGAGGAGUCAUGAGUACAGGGAUAUUAAACUUUGCCUGAGGAUGAGACAUGAGAUGUUCAAAUA